CCUCGCAACGUGUAUUUAAUCAAUAAUUACAUUAAUUAAAUGCAAUGCUCGCUGAAAGCUUACUUAAAGAUGAUUCGACGACACAUAAUUUCGUGCCUGCUGGAACGGCACAUAUUUCAACGUUAAUAUAGCGUCAAUCGCGCGAAAAUGAUUUAUGUAACGAUCCAUGUGGUUUCUUAUGUAAGUAGCGACGCUCAGGAUCUCGAGGUGCCCAUCCACAAUUUUCGUUUUGCCGGGUUUUUCCGUUCGUCGAAACGCCGCGCCGCGCCGGCCGGCUCGGAUCACGCGGAAAAUGCGAACUCGCUUUAACGUCAUAAUAAAGUCGAGUUAUUAACCAUACCUCAACAACUGAGCCACAGGUAUGCGGAUUUUCCUCUUAUCUUGCAUAUUUCACGAUUGCGAUAAUGCAUAGUUCAAAACGAAAGCACUUGACGCAAACGCGAAGUUGCGCGCAGUUCGAAUAUUAACCGCAGACCUGCAAAAUGUCCCGAUAUCCUUUUACUUACCACUGGAUUACGUUCCGAUGAGACUUUAACCGUAAAUCAAAUUGAUAAGUCGAUUGAGUAUUGGACUGGUUAACAAAUGUUUAAUCAACUUCGUUAUAAUCUAAAAAUUCAUUUUUAAUCAAUAGCAUACCGAUCGUAAGUUUUGGAAAAUUUUUAAGUUGAGGUGGUUGAAGUAAGUAGAAAGAUAUCUAUACUUUUAACAAAUGUACAAAAGAUUUAAUAUCGAUUACACAUUACAAAACUGCGACGAUACUGAUAACUUUCACAAUCAAAUUUAAUCUUUAAUCAUAAGAAUGUCCAUGCUGCCUGAUAAAUAGAAAAGCUGAUAAAAUUUGAUAUCCGGUUUCCUUAAAUUACCCUGUAUUACAUCUUUCACGUUUGUAACAAGAUAAUUAUAUGUACAUCAAAGAAAAAAGAAGUAGAAAAAGACAAAGAAAAUGCGUCGCACUGGGGAAAAAAAUUUGUCAAAAAACUAAAAUAUUUAGUCCGAUACGUGCAACUAAAAAUUGAGUUGGUUUAAUUAAGUCUUGGUUAAAAAAUUUGAAUAGUUGAACUAUACCUUCCUUUGUGCAAUCAAAUAAUUGUCGAAUUAAUCCAAUUUAUUUGAUCGUAUCAAACUAAAUAUUUUAUUUUAUUUUUUUUUUUUAACAAAUUGUUUUCGGUGUCUAAACGAAAAGAGGUCGGCGAGUAUCGUCUGGCCGAGAAGUAAUAAUUUAGCAAAACUUUUUUUUUUUUUUUAAUUUUAAUACGCACCGUGACUUUCCUUUGGCUGACUAGAAUUUCCUCAAUGGUUUCGGAUGGUCACGGGCCCACACUGGAAACAGCCAGCUAUCCAAAACCGAGCAGUGCCGUACUGACCAGCGGUGCGUCGCGGCGUACGACGGAGUAUGCGGCGGAGGCUCGGCGACGGCUAAUCAUCAACGGCCCCGACGAGAAUUCAAUUCUUAUCAGUCGCAUGCAGUAUGUCAAACGCAAAGAUAUACAUAACGUAAUGCAAGCGCGUGAUUCUGAUAAUUUUUCAUCGUUUGUUGGCAUGUUCGCAAUUCGCAUAUCAUUCUCGGUGGAUUUGCUCGACGAUAUAUAUAUAACCGAUAAAUAACUGAUAAUUGUUUUAUCUUUUAUUGAGAAAUCUACCUAUGUAAACAUAUCGACAGAAAGAAAAUUUUUGUUAAAGUAUAUAAAAAUAUAACUUGAUAUUGAAAAUAAUUUUUUAUUAGACUAUAAGUGAUUAUGUAGAACGCUCAAAUUGGUUGCUACAAUGUCGAAACUUGUUGCAGCAUUGCUUAUUAUAUUUGAGUGUCUUAUGUAAUUAUUUUGAUGGUCCAAUAAAAUUAAUUUGAUUUGUACCCAACUAAAAUUUUAGAUGCUUCAGUACAAUUAUUCUUUCCACGUACAAUUCGCGUUUGUACAUACAACUGAUAAAUAAUUGACAAUUGCUUUAUCUUUUACUAGGAAACCUGCAUGAAAAGAAAAGUUUGAUUAAAGAAUCUAAACAUUUAGUUAGAUAAGAAAAAUAAUUUUGUGUUAGACUGUCAAAAUAAUUAUGUAGGAUGUUCAAACUGGUUGUUAGAAUGUCGAAAAUUGUUACAGCAUUGUUCAUUAUGUUUGAGCGUCUUAUAUAAUUAUUUUAAUGAUCGAACAAAAUUAAUUUUAGACAAGUACCAAACUAAACUAGUACUUCAGCAAAACCGUUCUUUUCCUGUACAAUUUGCGUCUGGAGAAUUUAAUUCUAGAGAAUAAAUGAUGCUUUUAUAAUUUUAGUUACAAUGUUUAUCUAUAUUAAUACCAAUGAAGCUUGUUAAAAGACAAAAGACUUUACUUUUAUGUCAUAAUAUUUCUUCUGCUCUGUGGUAAGACAGUUCUGUGGUAUUUAUGGAAAACAAACCACAAUACCAGAAGUGGAACACAAAUCUCUUGUUGUUCCGGUCACGUGCUUCAUAAUCACCGGCCAUUUAGCUGUGAAGAUUAGAUUUAGUUGAUUAGAUAAAAAAACAAAAAAAUUUUUACGGUGUGAAAAGAUGUUUCACGGCAUCAUAAGAUGAAUCUACGUUACUUUUUUUGCAUAGAACAAUCAUAAUUCGUUCAAGGAAAUUUAUUCUUUUAUUUUCAACGCUGCAUAUUCAAGUUGAAAAGGACAAGAAAAAAUCUAUUCUUCUCUUUUUUCCUUCUUUUUUAGUCAAUUAACGUGCUUCUGGAUAUAUAUAUAUAUAUAUAUAUAUAUAUAUAUAUAUAUAUAUACAUAUAUAUAAUUUCUAUUUAUUUGUAUACCACUUUCAGAUAACGUAGUGCAAGUACGUGAUUCUUCUGAAAUGAUUCUGCAAUUAAUAUUUUUUCUACCUGUUACAGCAUGAUUCACAAUUCACAUCAUUCCCGAUGAUUUGUCCUGAAGAAACGCACGAUAUAUGUAACCGAUAAAUAAUUGAUAAUUGUUUUAUCGUUUAUUAAAUAAUUUAAAAAAGGAAAAAUUUUGUUAAAAUAUCUACAUUUAACUGGAUAUAGAAAAUGAUUUCCGGUUAGAAUAUCAAAAUAAUUAUGCUGGACACUCAAGUUGGUUGCCAGAACUUCACAACUUGUUGCAGCAUUGCUCAUCAUGCUUGACCGUUUUAUAUCAUUUUGUAGGUUCAACAAAAUUAUUUUCAAAUCUGCAUCUAACUAAAUUUUUAAAUAUUUUAACAAAACAAUAUAGUUUUAUUUAAAAAAUGUUCUUUCCAUGUACAUAGAAGUUGGUAACACAAUCAAGAACAAAACGCAUAAAAACACAUUUAAAGUGAGCAAUCCUACUUGCAACUUUAUUCACAAGCAAUAUUAAAUUAAUUUUUAAAAAAUACAUCUUAAAAAUAUAUAUGAUAUCGUACGAAUAUUAUGAAUCAUGAUAUUCAUAAUAUCAUAUGAUAAUAUGUGCUAUAGGAUAAUAAUGCUUACCAGUUUUGAUUUUUAUUUUUAAUCGCAAUAAAUACUUUCAGCUCUCUUCAGGUAAUUGUUAGAUAAUAAUUUGACGAGUGUAAUGUCAUAAAAUCUGUAUAUUGCAAUUUUAUAUUGUUGAUAAUCCUGUCAUAUAUUAUUGAUUUCUUUCCUAUCGUAAAAUGUUAUUCUAAAGGAGGAAUUAUAUCUCUCUAUCAAAGUAAUAAUAAAUUUUUAUGUUUCAGAAUUAAACGUAUAAUGAUAAUGAAUUUAUGAAUGAGAAUUAAAACUUGUGUGCAUGAUUCUUAAAACAUAAUUUAUAUGUACAAUCUUUUAAUUAAUAAUUGGCGCAUGAUAAAUUUAUUUAAUAUCAAGAAUGCCUCCCGAUAUUGGAUUUAACAUUUUUAGAUCGAAGUAGAUUUUGUCAUCAUUGAUAUAUUUCUUCAGUAUAUUUAUUAUUAUUUUUUUUCUUUUUUUUAGAAAGAGAGAAAAUGCAAGUUAUACGUUUACAAGACUUUCGAUUUAGAUGUAUUUUAACUUAUUUCCUUAAUUCUAAGAACUUUUAAAUAAAUUUAUGUAUAACUCAGAGAAAUUGUUAUUAAACUUUGAUUAACUUAAACAAUUCAAAUCGAGAAAAGCUCGUAAACUGUCAUAGCAAGAUCUUGUAUAGCCCUGAAAUAAUAUUUUUUGUUGUGUGAUUUUGAAGUAGGUAUAUAUAUUUUCUAAUUUUCUAAACUGUGCAUCUUUAUAAUACUUUCGGUUUAAAACACACACGGAAAGAACAAUUUUACUAAUAUCUAAAAAUUUAAUUAGAUAUAGAUAAAAACAAAUAAUUUUAUGUUGGAUUAUCAAAAUUAUUAUGUAAGACAUUCAAGCAUGAUAAAACACGAAAAA